AUACUUACCUGGCAGGGGAGGUAGUGUGAUAGUGAAGACGGUUUUCCCAGGGGAAGACGUAGCCAAUGCACUCCAAAUGUGCUGACCCCUGCAUUUUCCACAAAUGUGGGGAACUCAACUACACAACUUAUGGCAGUGGGGGGGGGGAGGGCUUCAUUCACA